rnacentral:siRNA from 1 species
UAAUGAGGUGUUUGGUUAA